rnacentral:antisense_RNA from 1 species
UCUCCCCAUUUAACGCCUGCCCCCCUCCAGGGAGGGUGAAGGGAACUCUCCCUCUGGGCCCCAUCACAGACCAUCAGCCAGAGGUGUCAGCCCCACCUGAGCCCGGGGGCCCCCUGCACUCAGAUGCCUGAUUCCCGGAGGCCGACCACUGCGACCUUCUGACUCAAAAGGAGAGACGCGAGGCCCCCUGAAGACGGGAGGCGGGGCCGGGACGGGGGCUGCGGACUGAGCUCAUCUUCGGCCAAGUCAUCGGAGGAUGCCUUCGGCGCUGAGACGAGGAGUGCGGGCGGCUGGUGGCCAAGGCGUGUCCCCAGCCCGCCCCCCACAAGCACCGGACACCUCGGGCACCUGGAUUCCAAAUGCUUGGAGCUCUCGGAGGGGCCUCCCUGUGCUGCCUGUGGGGACGGCAAUUUUGAAGGAAAACCUACAAUGAGACUUGACUUUACAAACAUGUACGUGAAAUGAAUUCCACAGCUGGAGUGGUCUGCAGAAGCAGAGCUGGCAACUAUCUCUCGGACCACAUGGCAGAAGCCAUCUGAGCUGGACCCCAAGACACAGAUGCACAGCA